UACGUAGGAUGCUAGCGUUGUCCGGAUUUACUGGGCGUAAAGCGCGCGCAGGCGGCAUACCAAGUACGGUGUGAAAUCUCCCUGCUCAACGGGGAGGGUGCAUUGUAAACUGGUAAGCUAGAGGACGGUAGAGGGGGGUAGAAUUGCUGGUGUAGCGGUGAAAUGCGUAGAGAUCAGCAGGAAUACCCGUGGCGAAGGCGGCCCCCUGGGCCGAACCUGACGCUGAGGCGCGAAGGCUAGGGGAGCGAACGGG
rnacentral:rRNA from 1 species